GAUGAACGCUGGCGGCGUGCUUAACACAUGCAAGUCGAACGAAGCACUUUACUUGAAUUUUUUCGGAAAGGAAAGUUUAGUGACUGAGUGGCGGACGGGUGAGUAACGCGUGGGUAACCUGCCUCAUACAGGGGGAUAACAGUUGGAAACGACUGCUAAUACCGCAUAAUGUUAUUUGAGGGCAUCCUCGAAUAACCAAAGCUUAAUGUGCUGAGAGAUGGUCUCGCGUCUGAUUAGCUAGAUGGCGGGGUAACGGCCCACCAUGGCGACGAUCAGUAGCCGGUCUGAGAGGAUGAACGGCCACAUUGGGACUGAGAUACGGCCCAGACUCCUAC
rnacentral:rRNA from 1 species